rnacentral:misc_RNA from 1 species
AAGCUACUGGGGGAGCCGAAGCUCCCCCCCAAGUAGGUGCGUGCUUUGUUUUUAUUGUUAUGGCGGGCUUGUUGUUUUUGUUGAGUUGCCCGUUCCAUCGAGUCAAGGACCCUCUGAAAGCCUCCCAAGCCAGGAGUUAAUAGCAAACGGAUUGUUUUGAAUGCUGACGCUGCCAUGAUCAGUGCGUGACCCAACCAGUACGGGAGCUGCUUCGAGGCAGUU